AAUAAUUCUGUAAAAAAAUACACGCUGUAAUGAUAGCACAUGUGAUGCAUAGAUGACAUUAACUUCCUAGUACAAAUCUAUAAAGAUCGUUGCAAAUGAAACAAAGGGACAGACGAUAGGAUUCGGAGCACUGACACAGUUUCAAGAACCUAAAAUAUGUCUGUUCUUUCGCUCACAAUCAUGGUUCUCCUAUCUUUAGUGAUUGGAGAGGUAGCACCAUGUUAUACUUACGGCAAGACAGACGGUUGCAGUAUUCCUGGUGACCUACCAUUCUUCUAUAAAGGAGCAUUCAGGUCUGCCUGUGACCGACAUGAUGUUUGCUAUGCCUGUGGCUAUGGAUCAGGAGUGUCACGAUCUGUAUGUGAUAGGAGAUUUUACAAUAAUCUCCUAUCUCGCUGCCAAAGGGAAUCGUUUUGGAUGAGAGAAUUUUGUCGCAAAAUCGCUGAAAUCUACUAUAACGCUGUCAAACACAAUGGUCACGAAUAUUACGAUGUUCCAUCACUAAGCUGGUGUGGAAGUUCAUGGGUCCCAGGAUGUAUGUAAUGCCUAUUCAAAAUAAUGAUUGACGUUUGACAUAUAACUUUUCGUCAUUAUAUAUCUUUUCAUUUUAUAAUGUAGUGACAAAUGAAUGACAUUAUUUGCCGGUGUGUUUAAUCUCGUUUUCCAUAAGUAAUUCUUUUUUUAUAUAAAAUUAGUGUACUUAUUUAUAGAUUUCUAAACAUGUAUAAAUAUGAAAUUAAUUUAACGGCAAACAUUGUACAAUCUUUUAAACUUGUUCUACUAGCUCAAUUUACGCAACAUGAACAAUUAAAUGUUUCUUUUUCUCUGUUUGAUCCGAUUUUAUUACAAGUAAGAGAAAUAAAUGAUUAAGUUGUCAAAUAGCA